rnacentral:tRNA from 1 species
AUUUAUAUAGUUUAAAAAAAACACUACAUUUUCACUGUAAAAUUAGAAAUUUCUUCUUGUAAAUA